rnacentral:tRNA from 1 species
GUGGCUGUAGCUCAGUUCGGUUAGAGCGUCUCCCUGUGGAGGAGAAUGUCGAGGGUUCGAAUCCCUUCAGCCACC